rnacentral:rRNA from 1 species
AGGAACGCGAAGAACCUUACCUACCCUUGACAUGCCACUAACGAAGCAGAGAUGCAUCAGGUGCCCGAAAGGGAAAGUGGACACAGGUGCUGCAUGGCUGUCGUCAGCUCGUGUCGUGAGAUGUUGGGUUAAGUCCCGCAACGAGCGCAACCCUUGUCUUUAGUUGCUACGAAAGGGCACUCUAGAGAGACUGCCGGUGACAAACCGGAGGAAGGUGGGGAUGACGUCAAGUCCUCAUGGCCCUUAUGGGUAGGGCUUCACACGUCAUACAAUGGUGCGAACAGAGGGAAGCGAAUUCCCGAGGCGGACCGAAUCCUUGAAAACCCAUCUUAUUCCGGAUUCUAUUCCGCACCUCACCUACUUGAAAGUUGGAACCCCUAGAAAACCCGGAUUCACCUGGCCCGGUGAAAAUAAUUUCCCCGGGUCUUG